rnacentral:rRNA from 1 species
AAAAUCCGGGAUCACUUACGCCGAGCACCGAGACGAGUCCUAUGAGGACGAAGUGACUGACACCACGCUUCCAGGAAAAGCCACUAAGCUUCAGCUUAAGAAAAACCGUACCGCAAACCGACACAGGUAGGCAGGGUGAGAAUCCCAAGGCGCUUGAGAGAACUCGGGUGAAGGAACUAGGCAAAAUGGCACCGUAACUUCGGGAGAAGGUGCGCCCUUUGGUGUGGUCACGUGCGUGACUGAGCAUCGAAGGGUCGCAGUAACCUGGCCGCUGCGACUGUUUAUCAAAAACACAGCACUCUGCAAACACGAAAGUGGACGUAUAGGGUGUGACGCCUGCCCGGUGCUGGAAGGUUAAUUGAUGGGGUCAGCCGCAAGGCGAAGCUCUUGGUCGAAGCCCCAGUAAACGGCGGCCGUAACAAUAACGGUCCUAAGGUAGCGAAAUUCCUUGUCGGGUAAGCUCCGACCUGCACGAAUGGCGUAACGACAGCGGCGCUGUCUCCACCCGAGACUCAGUGAAAUUGAAAUCGCUGUGAAGAUGCAGCGUUCCCGCGGCAAGACGGAAAGACCCCGUGAACCUUUACUAUAGCUUUACACUGAACGUUGAGUUCUUCUGUGUAGGAUAGGUGGGAGGCUAUGAAACCAGGACGCUAGUUCUGGUGGAGCCAUCCUUGAAAUACCACCCUGAAGUGCUUGACGUUCUAACCUAGGCCCGUAAUCCGGGUCAGGGACCGUGUAUGGUGGGUAGUUUGACUGGGGCGGUCUCCUCCCAAAGAGUAACGGAGGAGCACGAAGGUACGCUCAGCGCGGUCGGACAUCGCGCACUGUGUGCAAAGGCAUAAGCGUGCUUGACUGCGAGAUCGACGGAUCAAGCAGGUACGAAAGUAGGUCUUAGUGAUCCGGUGGUUCUGUAUGGAAGGGCCAUCGCUCAACGGAUAAAAGGUACUCCGGGGAUAACAGGCUGAUACCGCCCAAGAGUUCAUAUCGACGGCGGUGUUUGGCACCUCGAUGUCGGCUCAUCACAUCCUGGGGCUGUAGCCGGUCCCAAGGGUAUGGCUGUUCGCCAUUUAAAGUGGUACGCGAGCUGGGUUCAGAACGUCGUGAGACAGUUCGGUCCCUAUCUGUCGUGGGCGUUGGAGAUUUGAGGGGGGCUGCUCCUAGUACGAGAGGACCGGAGUGGACGUUCCGCUGGUGUUCGGGUUGUCAUGCCCAUGGCAUUGCCCGGUAGCUACGAACGGAAGUGAUAACCGCUGAAAGCAUCUAAGCGGGAAGCACGCCCCAAGAUGAGAUCUCCCGAGAGCUUGACUCUCCUAAAGGCACCAUCAAGACUAGGUGGUUGAUAGGUCAGGUGUGGAAGCGCAGCAAUGCGUUGAGCUAACUGAUACUAAUGAGCCGUGAGGCUUGACCU